UGUGCCUACGGGGGGCAGCAGUGGGGAAUAUUGCACAAUGGGGGAAACCCUGAUGCAGCGACGCCGCGUGAGUGAGGAAGUAUUUCGGUAUGUAAAGCUCUAUCAGCAGGGAAGAAAAUGACGGUACCUGACUAAGAAGCCCCGGCUAACUACGUGCCAGCAGCCGCGGUAAUACGUAGGGGGCAAGCGUUAUCCGGAUCUACUGGGUGCAAAGGGAGCGUAGACGGAGGAGCAAGUCUGAUGUGACCAUCCGGGGCCCAACCCCGGCACUGCAUUGGAAACUGAUUAUCUA
rnacentral:rRNA from 1 species